CAAGAUAUAAUUUAAGCAGAAUGUUAGCUUUGGGGGUUAAUUGCGGGGGUUAAAUUCCUCCUGUCUUGA
rnacentral:tRNA from 1 species